rnacentral:rRNA from 1 species
AUUGAACGCUGGCGGCAGGCCUAACACAUGCAAGUCGAGCGAGCGGCGGACGGGUGAGUAAUGUAUGGGGACUGCCCGAUAGAGGGGGAUAACUACUGGAAACGGGGGCUAAUACCGCAUAUUGUCGGAUAACCCAUAUGGGAUUAGCUAGUAGGUAAGGUAAUGGCUUACCUAGGCGACGAUCCCUAGCGGGUCUGAGAGGGUGAUCAGCAACACUGGGACUGAGACACGGCCCAGACUCCUACGGAGGCAGCAGUGGGGAAUAUUGCACAAUGGGCGAAAGCCUGACGCAGCAAUGCCGCGUGUGUGAAGAAGGCCCUAGGGUUGUAAAGUACUUUCAGUCGGGAGGCGUUACCGACAGAGGAAGCACCGGCUAACUCCGUGCCAGCAGCCGCGGUAAUAC